rnacentral:rRNA from 1 species
UACGUAGGGGGCUAGCGUUGUCCGGAAUCAUUGGGCGUAAAGCGCGUGUAGGCGGUCCGGUAAGUCCGCUGUGAAAGUCGGGGGCUCAACCCUCGGAUGCCGGUGGAUACUGUCGGGCUUGAGUACGGAAGGGGCGAGUGGAAUUCCUGGUGUAGCGGUGGAAUGCGCAGAUAUCAGGAGGAACACCUAUAGCGAAGGCAGCUUGCUGGGACGUUACUGACGCUAAGGCGCGAAAGCGUGGGGAGCGAACAGG